UUAUUUUAUUCUUUUUACUAUAAGGUCUAUUUAUGGUUGACCAGGAAACUAGCAUUUGUCUGCAGUGGUGACAGUGAGAUGACACAAUUGCAACUAUAUUUUUAAAAACCUUGCAAUUUCUAUAUCAGACAACCAAAAUACAGAGUAAGAAUAAUACUUCCGUUUCAAAACAGACAACUGAGAUGAAUUAAAGGAUAUGAAACCAUUCAAUUAAACGGACUGAAUGUCUUACUGCAAACAAAAAAACAACUGUAACUUAAUUUCUUUUGUAUUUUCUGUUUUUGGACACAAUAAAAUGGCCACAUAAAAGGCUCUAAAAACCUCUGUUCCUUGGAUUGACUUAGUAAUGGAUCCCUAAAAGUGCUUUAACAUUGAAAAAUAUAUAUAUAAUUUUGUGCUUAGUGUUUAUUAUUCAUAUAAAUGACACAACUGAGUUUUGUUUGACACCGAAACCAAACUAGCACUCAAACGUGACAUUUUUACCAUAGUUCUUCAAGGCCCUCUGCGACUGUAGCAUCCAUCCAAGAAAGUUUGCCCUGUGUGUUAUUUUGAGACAUCCUUCAGUUACAUUUACCUGAAAACCAACCCUGUGCACGAAUAAACCCAGUAAACCACCCAGUGAACGUUCCCAGAAAGCAGGGUGAGAGAUUUGACUGUUUAUUUGGUUCAAGACACCUGUGUCGGAGCCCUUGAUUGGCCAGAGAGAGAAAAAGAGAGAGAGAAGAAAGGGAUUACCUUUAUUGCCGAUAUAUUAAAGUCCAAACUACUGUAAGUGCUUGUGCUUCAAAGCAUUAAUAGGAUUCUUUUAUACAGCAUUUAUAUACAGCGUCUAUACAAGAGACAUUCAUGACUCUCAUGAAAGCAGGAGGUGUCCAUGUCCGCCGUCUCCCUCCCGAUCCUUCCAGACUGAAAAACACAGACGAUCAACAAACACGAAAAAAGAAAGAAACACACGUACAAGCUCGCACAUAACACGGCAGUCACCAGAGCAGCAAAAGCAUGCGUAUAGACUUGGGAAUCACUUUCAUCGUAAUGACAACAUAGUUUAUUCUACAUCUCGAAGCGCUAUGUUCACCUGGGUAGAGCAGACGAUCAACAAACACGAAAAAGAAAGAAACACACGUACAAGCUCGCACAUAACACGGCAGUCACCAGAGCAGCAAAAGCAUGCGUAUAGACUUGGGAAUCACUUUCAUCGUAAUGACAACAUAGUUUAUUCUACAUCUCGAAGCGCUAUGUUCACCUGGGUAGAGCAGACGGGAUCUGAGGAAACGAAUGAACACAAAUGUCACCAAAACAUCUGA
rnacentral:lncRNA from 1 species